CUUAUACUCCCUUCGUCUGGAAAUACUUGUCAUACAAAUGAAUAAAAUGGAUGUAUCUAUACCUAAAAUAAGUCUAGAUACAACCAUUUCCACGACAAGUAUUUCCGGACGGAGGGAGUAACAA
rfam:Triticum aestivum genome assembly, contig: Triticum_aestivum_CS42_TGACv1_scaffold_273527_3DS